rnacentral:rRNA from 1 species
UACAUGAGUGGCGAGCGUUACCCGUAUUACUUAGGCGUAAAGGAUGUGUAGGUGUUAUAAGAAUUUAUACUCGACUAUAAUGAAAACAGGAAGCGUGUAUAAUAACUUAUUAAUAGAGAUUAGUAGUUGUUUAUAGCAUCUCGAAAAUAGUGAUUAAAUACAGAGAUUUAACAGGGAUUUUCUAAAUUGAAAAUUUUUUGCAAUACUAAUCUGACACUAAUACAUGAAAGUAUGGACACUGAACAGGAUUAGAGACCCUAUUAACCCAUACCGCGAACAAUGAGUAUAAUACUAAUAUAGUUAAAGCUAACGCUAAAAUACUCCGCCUGGGGACAUCGGCUACUCGGCCUAAACUUAACAGAAUUGGCGGGAAUCUGUUCAAACGGUGGAAUAUGUGGUUUAAUGCGAUGAUCCACGCAUAAUCUUACCAACGUGAAGGCUUUUUAUUUUAAUAGCUCAGAUGAGUUAUGAAACAAAAGUUUAAGGUGUUGCAUGGCUGUCGUCAGUUCGUGCUUCGAAGUGUAGGAUUAAUUUCUUAUAACGGACGUAACCCUCACUCAACAGUUUGAAGAAACGGUAUGGAAUGUUUUAUUACAAAUACUAAAAUCUUUUCUGUAGCAAAGGGAUUGUCGAAACAAAACGUAUAAUGUUUUUAUAAACAUUUAAUUUUUGUUAGGCAGGUUCCGGAGGGUUAGGCUGAAGUCAAGUCCUUAUGACCUGUAUAUGUUGGGCUACACACGUGUUACAAAGGCUGAAACAAAGAGUUGCAAAGGAUUAUACCGAAGCUAAGCUUGAAAAACAGCCCCAGUUCAGAUUGCAUCCUGAAACUCGGAUGCAUGAAGUUGAAAUCGUUAGUAAUCGUAUAAUAGCACGAUACGGUGAAUGUAAAAUCGGGUUCUGCACACACCGCCCAUCACGCUCGGAGAAUUGACGUGUACUGAAUUGUUUUUCUAGGUUUAUUUAUAAAUUUAUUUUUUUAAAAUGACCCAAGGAUGUAGAUGGAUGGCUCGUUGGUAAUUUGAGUGAAGUUG